rnacentral:rRNA from 1 species
UACAGGGGGUGCAAACGUUGCUCGGAAUUAUUGGGCGUAAAGCGCACGUAGGCGGUUUGUUAUGUCGGAUGUGAAAGCCCUUGGCUCAACUGAGGAAGUGCAUCCGAAACUGGCAAGCUAGAGUAUGUAAGAGGGUCGCGGAAUUCCCGGUGUAGAGGUGAAAUUCGUAGAUAUCGGGAGGAACACCUGUGGCGAAGGCGGCCCCCUGGUUGGAUACUGACGCUGAGACGCGAAAGCGUGGGGAGCAAACAGG